GUCAGGGGAGAGUAGGAAAAUUCAAACUUGUCUUUGUUCGAUGGUUGCACGUAGCGGCGACGUUGUUUUGCUCGGAGUUUAUUUAUUCUUAUAUUACGUGUAUCCUAACGAUCUUGAUACUCCGAGGUAAAACAACAACGUGAUUUGAAUUGUCCUUUAACUCAUGUGAAGUUACAGACCUGUGUAACCUCAGACCGCCAGUUGUUAAAUACAAACAAUGUAGGAGUUACAACAGUUAGUUACCGCUUAGCACUUGUAAACAGUAGACAUUAGUUUAAGACGAUCUGUGUAUAACGUGAGUGUAGAAACAGACUAUGGGUAAAACAAAGAAUUUACUUGAAAACGAAAGGGAACAAAUCGUAAGGCUGCGAAAGCGAAGUAAAACCUUUACCGAAAUAGCAAGUAUAGUGAGCAGGUCAGAAACGACUUGUAAGCAAGCUUGGCAUAAAUUUGUAUUGCGAUCAACGAAAAAACGCCGAAAUGGAUCGCCGGAUUCAUCGAUUGAGCGAAAAGGAUGGUUUUCGUAGUGCAAAUAAUAUUGCUGUGGAGAUAAACUAUGAAAACGAUACACAAAUUAGUGCUAGAACUGUUAGGAGAAGAUUAGAAGACUUUAACUUAAGAGGACGAAAACCUCAAAAGAUACCACUGCUGAGUUCUAGGAAUCGAAAAAGACGACUUGCAUUUGCUAAAGCUCGUAAGCAUUGGACAAGUAAAGAUUGGCAAAAGAUACUGUUUUCAGACGAAUCGAAAUUUAAUCGCGUUUCUUCUGACGGGAUACGGUAUGUUAGACGUCGAAUUGGCGAAAGUUUGAAAACACAGUGCGUUUUAAAAACUCUUAAACAUUGUGGUGGAAACGUUAUGGUGUGGGCGUGUUUUUCUCAAGGCGGCCCUGCACCGAUAUGUCGUAUCAAUGGAAUUAUGGACCAUUUUCAAUACAUGGACAUACUCAAAAACACAAUGUUGCCUUUUGCACGCAACAAUAUGAGUGAUGAUUUUAUUUUUCAAAAUGAUAAUGAUCCGAAGCACACGGUUCGGGUCGUGAAACAGUUUUUUGAAGAAUAAAAUAUUACCCUGCUGCCGUGGCCAUCGCAAUCACCAGACAUUAAUCCAAUUGAGAAUUUGUGGAGCAUCAUAAAAAAUACAGUACAAGGUUAUAAAUUGAAAAAUUUAAAUGAGCUUUACUCUACAAUUGAAAAAGCUUGGAGUAAUAUUACGGUAGAUCAAUGUAAAAAAUUAAUAGAUUCUAUGCCAAGAGGAUGUACCGAAGUGAUAAGAAAUAACAGAUAUUGGACAAAAUAUCGAAUUUAAAAAAAUUGUGUAUAUUUUCUCACCAAAAAUUAAUAUUUUUUGUGUAGUCAAACUUUUGAUCGACGAAUAUUAUAUAGAUUUUGUUCCUUUUUUUUAUAACUUAGCUACUGAGCAAAAUAUCAAAAUGAAAUUUUUUUCGUAAGUGUACAAAAUAAUGUCUAAUUGGUUAGUACCAAAAGUAGAACACUGUAUUUAUAUUUUUUAUGGCAAGUAAAUCAAUUAUUUAUUUCUGCCAUUUCGUCUUAAACUGUUGUCUGUUACUCUACUUUAUUUUGGGGCAAGUAAUUGAAAAUAUAUAUAUGAGAGAAUAAUACAUACAAGUAUAUUAUACAUACAUUAUACAUACAAGUAUAUACGUAAUAAUACAUAAAAGUGUCUUUCUUUCGCAAAUGUGUUUUUUAAAACAGUGCACAUUCAUAUAAACGUGAAACCAAGUCUGUGAAAUGUCGCGGUGUUUAUCUCAACAGAACAAAAUGGAUCGUACGUAAUUCGACAAAAUAAUAUAAAAGAAAAAACGUUGUGCGUUUAUUAUUUCUUCAUAAAACGAAAGAAACUUUUCGGACAACCUAAUAUAAUGUGUAAAUGCAUAGGAAACACAAUUUGCGUAGAUGAGAAAACACAAAGAGAUGCAAGGACACAGAACAAAUACGAGAGGACAAUUGGGAAAAAGAAAGUAGAGACCCGAUGACUAUUUCUAUAUUUCUCUAUUUCUAUUUAUCGUUUUUAUUUUUAUUACAAAUUAUUUCAUCAUUGAACAAAACAUAUUUCUGAUUCUUCUUGAUAAAAAUUAUCUGAAUUUCUUUCACCAACGAUAAAACCAUGAAAUUCGAAUUAUUAAACGAUCAUCAUUUAUUCGGAAAUCGAAGCGAUCAAAUUAUGCGUGACACUCGGUAAUCCUCGAGCUUUCACGCCCACUAUUUCCUGCGGAUGGAAACGGAGUGACGAAAAGACGAGAAUUAAGAGGAAAGUCGCUGCUUUUUCUUACAUGAACGCAGUCGACUCGCAAGCGGCUGUAAAAGAAGAUAGGAAGGAAGGCUGGGGCUUUGUUAAGCGCAAAUUGAAUGGGUAGCCGCAUCCUGCUUUUUCUACCACAUCGUUUUGUAAAGGCAAGCAAGGUUGCUCCUUUUUAAGCGGCGACGAUAUCGCUUAUAAAGAUCGUUUCGAUAACAUACGUUCGCUGUGAUUUAUGCUUAAAGAAAGGAUUAGGAGGAAGAUACGGAGCUGAUGUUGUAAUCUGGAAUUUUAUUCAAAGAUAAUCGUCUGAGAUAUUCGCUUGUACUUAUUCUUAGUGUCAGUAAUUUCUGCCACAGCUUGUAAGAUUUAUCUUUAUUCAUUUUUAUCAUAAUGAUAGAAGACAAAUCAAGAACAAUUUGACAAGUAGGCUUACUAGGAACAUACAAUGAUUACAAAAGGUGUUGGCACAGAAAGUAUUUUUAUUUUGCAAGAAGGUAAAUAGGUAAAUGCUAUGAUAAAUACAAUGGUGUGCCUAAACUAUUUGUAGUCAUUGUAUUGUAGGUUUAUUAGCGUGACGACUGCUACGAUGAUAGAUUACUAUUACAACAAACAGCUAGAAAACCAGCUGAGAAAAGCGGUAUUGGAUAAAAUGUAUAGACCAAUGUUCGUGAUUCGAAGAAAUAUCGUGACGCUUGUAAUUUAUCUACAAUGCGAUCUUUUUAAUUAUUUAAUCUAUCAGAUGCGCAAAAUUAAAGGAAAAUAUACAACAGAAUUUGAGAAAGAAAUAGAAGAGAAUUUACGAUGGAAAUGAUUCUUCAUGUUCUAAUAGAUAUAUUAAUGUCUAUCACUGGGACUAAUAACCGGAUAAACAGAGAAAAAUCACAUUGCACGCGCGGAAUUAAUAAAUCAUUAUUAUAUCUAAACAUUUGCGCAUGUUCAGUUGAUACAUAUAAACAACAUGCGGCGCUGUUUGCUGAUUUCAAUGCACGCAGACGCGUUAAUUCGCUCAAUAAAUGAAAAGCAAAUAUUUAACGAUAUGGGUUGAAACUCUGCUACGGAAAGAAAAAUUCUACUGAAACAGGUAGUUCGAAUGAAAAAACAAUGAUCGCGGAGUAACCGAAUGAAUGUAAACAAAAAAAAGGAAACAAAAAAGAAUCGUUUAUAGAUUAUAAAAACAAAGUCAAUAAAAAAUUGCGAACGAUUCACAGGUGAGCGAAACCUGAACGAAUUAACUUGAAAAAGUGGGAAGCUCCGGAAGAUCGUAAUGCAAUUUCACAUUUUGCAGUCUUUUUUAAUUAAUUCACCAUAGCUAGCAUCACGUUGUUACGUUAAGAACCAUCCUCUAACGUAUUCACGAUUAAGCUUUGUGUGGUUCUUCCAUGAACAACUAAAAUAUUCACAAAGAGUAAAAGGAUCGGUUGUUAUCUAUCAAGUGUACUACGUAAUAGCAGCAAUUUAGAGCCUUUACGUGAGCUUGUGUGCUGGAGCACGGUCGCGUAGUCCGAUGUACGGCUAGGAAAAGGGUCAAAAGAAAUUAUUUGUAACGCAAGAGAUUCUCACGUGGCAGACGAGAUCCGCCCGCGUUGCUUCGUAACGUGGUACACGAUGAGAAAAGGGGCACACUUUGUUAAAUUGCACGCAGCGUAUCUCAUUUCGUCUGGACGCUUUCUUUGUUCCUCGUGUGACAAAAGAAGUAUCCUCGCGCAACCAUCUUCCCCUGCCAUCUGAUAAUUUUCAAUGAAGAAUCCAAGUUCCAUAACGAGAAAAAGGAAGAAAAUCGUCGAUGAGCGCGAAAGAAUCGUCCUGUUUUCGAAAACAAGAUCCACUUAGCGUGAUUGCGUGUAUAAACGCGAUAUGAUCGCGAAGAGACGAGCAGAAUAGGGGAAUAGAAGCGUGGAAUCGUAAAACAUAAAUUACGAGGACCGUUAGCCAUUGCUGUACCUCUCGUCCUGUCUUCCAUUGUUCGUCAACUUCUCUUUGGUCGUUAAGCCAUCGAACUCCUCAUUUUUAAUGCAUUAAAGAACGCCACUACGAAUAGGUCGACCAGGAAGACACGAAUUCUACAAAAAUUUAUCAGCCAUAGAAAGGAGACGAAUGAGAAAGAAAAGAAGGAAUCGAUUCGUGUCGAAUAAAGCUGGACCGAUGCCGAAGAAUGAUCAUAAUAAAACCGUGGGACCGUGUACAUUCCAUGGAAUAAGAACCGAGAAUAUUCUCAACGUAAGAAAGGAAGGUGUUAGCAAAUGCAUGGAAAGAUAAAUCGACCCUCGUCCAACGUUCAUAUUUUACUUCUCGUCUCUAGCUGCUAUGCUCGGUACUAAGAGACGAUUUAAAAAAUUGCAAAGUCAAAGAUGUUAAACUAGGACGCGGUAAGGAAACGUGGUAAAUUAAUUAAAAUAUCAACUGACGCUCAAAGAGAUAACUUGAAUAGGUAACAAGCUUUCGUCUCAUCUAGAUCAGUUUUCAAAUUUGUACAUAUAUUUAAUGCAUCAUGGGACGAAGAAAAAGUCGAGGGUUGUAUAAUAGGCUUAAAGAGAGCCUCUCUCUCUUAUAGAGAUAUAAUACGAUCGCAAGAGUAAAAUCGAUUCGAAUGUCAGUUCGAGAAGAAUGAUCCUGUAUCGACGAUGUUAUCGCAAAUUCAAUUACGGACGAGAGAUAUAACGAGGAGUAUAAUUAUUACGGGUAUCGUGUCUUACGAUCUUGCCUAGUGGUUACGCGAAUCGCAAUUAACCUCGCGCGUUAUUUCGAACAAUGUGAGCCUCGCUGUGUAACUUAAUCCCAUUGCAAGAGCUUCGGAAUCCAUGGGGAGUGUUUACGAGCACGCGGUUGGAACAAUUCCCUGCCAUUUGAAAUUCUUAUGAUACCACCGAAAUGAAUCUCGCUGAUGCAUCAGAACCUAUUGCACUCGAGUUACGCUUCACAGUAUUUACUUUUUUUACAUUGUACUCAUAGCAUUUGUAAAAUUUUUAUUGUGCGAUUUCAAGAAUGCCGAAUAGAUGAUAGUGUAAGAACAUUUUUAUAUACUGAUAUAAAAUUCUAAAUAAAUAUAUUAAAAUGAUUCUGUAAUUUAUUGUAAUAUUUAGUAUAAUUUGGCGAUGUAAGAAAUAUGAAGAAAAUAUUCAAUAUUGAACUUGCAUUCUCAGUAUAGCUCAAUAAUUAAUUUCAAUUAUAAUCAAAAUACAUCUAUAAAAAUAUUUAUAUUUAUCGAAGACAAAGAUAUAGAAAAUUCUUGCUUUGUAUUUUGCUUCGUUGCAAACUAAACCGGAAUUAGAUUUUGUUAUAUUUUUUAUUAGAUUUUGUACUCGUAGCAUUUGUAGAAAUUUUUUUGCGCGAUUUCAAGAAUGCCGAAUAGAUGAAAGUGUAAGAACAUUUUUAUAUACUGAUAUAAAAUUCUAAAUAAAUAUAUUAAAAUGAUUCUGUAAUAUAACUUAUUGUAAUGUGGUGUCGAAAACAAAACCUUGGUUAGCAACCGAUCGAAACAGUGUCGUCUGUCCUUCGGCUGUUAGUUUACAUAGGAGAAAAACCUAUUGACUAAAGUCACCUAGUCCUUGCGGCACGAAAACAGGACCGAAUUAGGAAAAGGACAAAAUAACGUUGACCGAGAAGUGAGAACGUUUUAUUGAGAGAGUCAGUGAGAGUUGCGGAGUUGCCUGAGUUGCUAGCGUUGUUGGGAGAUUGAAUGGUUAGAGUUAUAGAGUUGCGAGAGUGAGUUGAGUAGAAUAAGAUUUUUGUGUUUAGUUCAAGUUGAACAUUUAUUGUUCUUUGUCCAAUUAAUAUCUGUUAUUUUUAUUUAUCUUAAAUAAAUAGUAUUAGGAGAA